GCAGCAGCCACGGUAAUACGUAGGUGGCAAGCGUUGUUCGGAUUUACUGGGCGUAAAGGGUGCGUAGGCGGAUUGUUAAGUCAGGGGUGAAAUCCCGAGGCUCAACCUCGGAACUGCCUUUGAUACUGGCGAUCUUGAGUCCGGGAGAGGUGAGUGGAACUGCGAGUGUAGAGGUGAAAUUCGUAGAUAUUCGCAAGAACACCGGUGGCGAAGGCGGCUCACUGGCCCGGAACUGACGCUGAGGCACGAAAGCGUGGGGAGCAAACAGGAUUAGAUACCCCUGUAGUCCCUGUCUCUUAUAC
rnacentral:rRNA from 1 species